rnacentral:rRNA from 4 species
CAAAAUCCGCAUGGAUUUUGUUUGAAAGGUGGCUUCGGCUAUCACUUCUGGAUGAUCCCGCGGCGUAUUAGUUAGUUGGUGAGGUAAAGGCCCACCAAGACGAUGAUACGUAGCCGACCUGAGAGGGUAAUCGGCCACAUUGGGACUGAGACACGGCCCAAACUCCUACGGGAGGCAGCAGUAGGGAAUCUUCCACAAUGGACGAAAGUCUGAUGGAGCAAUGCCGCGUGAGUGAAGAAGGGUUUCGGCUCGUAAAACUCUGUUGUUAAAGAAGAACACCUUUGAGAGUAACUGUUCAAGGGUUGACGGUAUUUAACCAGAAAGCCACGGCUAACUACGUGCCAGCAGCCGCGGUAAUACGUAGGUGGCAAGCGUUGUCCGGAUUUAUUGGGCGUAAAGCGAGCGCAGGCGGUUUUUUAAGUCUGAUGUGAAAGCCUUCGGCUUAACCGGAGAAGUGCAUCGGAAACUGGGAGACUUGAGUGCAGAAGAGGACAGUGGAACUCCAUGUGUAGCGGUGGAAUGCGUAGAUAUAUGGAAGAACACCAGUGGCGAAGGCGGCUGUCUAGUCUGUAACUGACGCUGAGGCUCGAAAGCAUGGGUAGCGAACAGGAUUAGAUACCCUGGUAGUCCAUGCCGUAAACGAUGAGUGCUAAGUGUUGGAGGGUUUCCGCCCUUCAGUGCUGCAGCUAACGCAUUAAGCACUCCGCCUGGGGAGUACGACCGCAAGGUUGAAACUCAAAGGAAUUGACGGGGGCCCGCACAAGCGGUGGAGCAUGUGGUUUAAUUCGAAGCUACGCGAAGAACCUUACCAGGUCUUGACAUCUUCUGCCAAUCUUAGAGAUAAGACGUUCCCUUCGGGGACAGAAUGACAGGUGGUGCAUGGUUGUCGUCAGCUCGUGUCGUGAGAUGUUGGGUUAAGUCCCGCAACGAGCGCAACCCUUAUUAUCAGUUGCCAGCAUUCAGUUGGGCACUCUGGUGAGACUGCCGGUGACAAACCGGAGGAAGGUGGGGAUGACGUCAAAUCAUCAUGCCCCUUAUGACCUGGGCUACACACGUGCUACAAUGGACGGUACAACGAGUUGCGAAGUCGUGAGGCUAAGCUAAUCUCUUAAAGCCGUUCUCAGUUCGGAUUGUAGGCUGCAACUCGCCUACAUGAAGUUGGAAUCGCUAGUAAUCGCGGAUCAGCAUGCCGCGGUGAAUACGU